GAUGGACACCAGCACCCAAAGCCUAAAGUGCUUAAAGGAAGUAAUUAAUUGCAGGCGUUGCUUUGCAGCCCCGGGGUCGGCUCGGAUGUGAUGCUACAGCUCCAUCUCAGAUCUACACGAUGGCUUUUCCCAGCAGGAUUUUGCUCUCAGCUCCAUCCAGGCAAGGCCCUGUUGCGUGCCCUUACAACACGGCUGCAGUUAUUGCAUCAACAGCUUUGCUGCUUGCAAUAGGAUUUGCCCCAGGUCUUGCAUUGUGCCUCAGUGCUUUGCAGCCACGGUUCAGUGCUUUGCCACUGCAGGAGUGCAAAGCUCAUCCUGGCCCGGCUCACCCCUGGCUCACAGCAGCACCGUUGGUGUUACGGCGAGUCAGACCCUGGCAAUAAAGGAGAAUUAUGGCCGAUGGAGACACGCUUGGAGCUGGGGGCUGUGGUGAAGGGCUGAAGUGUUUUUGCAGUGCUGCUAUAGAUCACAGCGAUGUUCUGACCUCCAGGAAUCAGAAGGGACCCCCUGGACCCGAGGCCACAGAGUGACAUGAAGAACCAAGGUCUCUGCAGCGCUCUGUUCUCUGAUGGAUCUUCCAGAUGUUCCCUCUUUGGGGUUUCUUUCUUUGCUCACACAGCACUCCAGAGGCUGCAUCUCAGAGAUGGAUGGAUAUUGGCUUUGGCAAUGCCCCUCCUGCUCCCAUCUUCUGUGUUUCUUGCACAGCUGUUUUGCUUCUCAUCAGAGCAGAGACAGGAGCACCCAAAUCCCUGCUGUAUGGCUCAGCCACAAGCUCUGUCUGCUCAUGGUGGUGAGAUGGGGACGCUUCCUUCUCCCACUCCUCCCAUAGGAACUCCAUGGACCCACAGGGACACCAUGGAUUCAUAGGGACCUCAGUGACCUGUAGGGAUGCCACGGACCCAUAGGGACACCACAGACCUAUGGGGAAACCACAUAUCCAUAGGGACACCAUGGACCCAUGGGGAUACCAGUGACCCAUAGGGACACCACAGGCCCUAAGGGACACUAGUGACCCACAGGGGCACUACAGACCCAUGGAGACCCCAUGGGCCUCCAGCACAGCUUUGGAGUUUAAGGAAGCUGACCACCAAGGCACCAGCUUGGGUUGCACAGUGAACCCAACACGUUUGCAGCUGCCCCCCAGCAAAGAGAAGGACGGGAUAGUGACCACAGCAUAACCAACACAGGUAUGGUAAAAGGAAGGUGGGCAGCCCUGAUGUGCCCCAUCCCCACCCUACAAGGAUCAGCAAUUACAUGGGAGCUUGAGGCUCAUCCAUUUGCCCUGCCCAGCCAUAUAUCACACCCGGAGCAGCUGGACAUCAGGAUGCAAUGCAGAGGGCAAUGGGCCACAGCCCAUCUGUGCAGCUCCAGGACCCGUCCAGGGAAUGAAAAAUUAAUACGUGUCUGUUUGGUCCGGCAGCAGCUGAGCAUCAUCCUCCAUCUGGAGGGGCAGUGCUGGGGGUUGGAGGAAUCCCCAGGAUCGCAGGAUGUAGGUGUGGGAAAUGGGGUGGGGGUCUCUGUGAUAAUGUGUGCCAAUGGUGGGUUUAAGGUGUUUUUGCUCUGUGUUUCAGCAUCUUGAGAAGGAGGGACGAUAAGGAUCUAAAAGGAAGUGGGAAUUAUUGGCUUAUUUCAUCACAGCAUCACACGGUUCUGGCCCAUGGAGCGCUCAACGCUGGGAUGAGCUGCAGUGUGAAUCCAUCCCAGUGCUGCCUGCUCUGCCAUAGGGAAACU